rnacentral:lncRNA from 1 species
GCACGGUGCCACGGGGUGGCACGCGAGGUUCCCGCGGGUAAAGGCUCCUUCGGCAGGCGGGAGUUGACCGGAAACUGGGAAACAUGAAGGUUAGCCAUGGUAGUUUGCCGGAAAAGAGAGAUAGGAAGGGGACUCGGCCAUACGGACAUGGAUUUGCGAAACAAAUAACGUGCCGGUGUAGAGGACGAUGAGAUGAACCUCGAGAUGGUGACGGUUUCUGCUGGAGAUGCAGGAGAUGGCCGGAAACGCUCGCCGAACGUUCGCCGGAAAAGUUCGCCGGAAACGAGAUCCGAAACUUCGGCGAUGG